AUAGACUCCUGAACUAUAAGAGCCGGAAGAAGAACCUUGCAGAGUAUCUGUAGUUAAUCCUCUACCACACUCUCAAAAACGGAAGGCCUAGAGAAGGGAAGAGAUGGUCUGAGGCAAUCUACUUUCUCAACUGUCACAGCCUAGUGUUGGACAACGAGAAUAAUGAAGUAGGAUCACAUGGCGAAAAGAAUAGCUGACUAGGAGUGAGGCUAUCUGGAGACUGGUCUCAGCUCUCCUGUCUCCAAGCAGGAAAAACUCCUUCCACGACGCUGAGAGCACAGCCUGGGGACAGGAUGCCCUCUCUGCUAACCUUGGGACCAGCUCAAAUUUUCUCCCACCCCUGAAGAUAUGUCUUUACUCUCUCUACCUCCACAAACUUCCACCCAGAUCUAAAGUAAAAACUCCAGUGAAGACGAGGAGGCGCUUCAGGUCUUUGCUACUAAACCCCCUUCUCAUUACACAAAUGGUAAACUCAGGGAAAGGAAACAAUUUGUGCAAGGUCACGGA